AUUUUUAGUAGUACCUGCCCAGUGCGUAUUAUCUUGUUAACGGCCGCCUUAGCGUGAGGGUGCUAAGGUAGCGAAAUUCCUUGCCUUUUAAUUGUAGGCCAGCAUGAAUGGUUUGACGAGGGCCUCACUGUCUCUUAGUUCUAUGUUGAAAUUGUAGUGUAGGUGAAGAUACCUUCAUAAAAAAGUAAGACAAAAAGACCCCGUGCAACUUUGGAAAAUUAAGCUAGAUUAAAUGGCAAAAGAUUUUUAGGUGGGGCGCCAAAAGAGGAAACUAUAACCUCUGCUGUUUAAGCUAAUUCUUACUGGAGUUGACCUGACUUAAGUCGAUCAAAGGAGAAGUUACGCCGGGGAUAACAGGCCAAUUCUUUAGUAAAGCUCGUAUUAACUAAAGGGCUUGGCACCUCGAUGUUGAAUCAGGGAUUAUAGCUUCAAGGCGUAGAUGCUUUGAUUAGUAGGUCUGUUCGACCUUUGAAACCCUACGUGAUCUGAGU
rnacentral:rRNA from 1 species